UUCCAGUGUUCCGCAGGUUGAGGUAGUAGGUUGUAUAGUUCAGAGUGACACCACAGGAGAUAACUGUACAGCCUCCUAGCUUUCCCUGAGGAAACACAA